rnacentral:rRNA from 1 species
GAGUGCGAUCAUACCAGUGUUAAUGCACCAGAUCCCAUAAGAACUCCGCAGUUAAGCACGCUUGGGCUAGAGUAGUACUGGGAUGGGUGACCUCCUGGGAAGUCCUAGUGUUGCACCCU